GACGAACGCUGGCGGCGUGCCUAAUACAUGCAAGUAGAACGCUGAAGGAGGAGCUUGCUCUUCUGGAUGAGUUGCGAACGGGUGAGUAACGCGUAGGUAACCUGCCUGGUAGCGGGGGAUAACUAUUGGAAACGAUAGCUAAUACCGCAUAACAGUAGAUAUUGCAUGAUAUCUGCUUGAAAGGUGCAAUUGCAUCACUACCAGAUGGACCUGCGUUGUAUUAGCUAGUUGGUGAGGUAACGGCUCACCAAGGCGACGAUACAUAGCCGACCUGAGAGGGUGAUCGGCCACACUGGGACUGAGACACGGCCCAGACUCCUACGGGAGGCAGCAGUAGGGAAUCUUCGGCAAUGGACGGAAGUCUGACCGAGCAACGCCGCGUGAGUGAAGAAGGUUUUCGGAUCGUAAAGCUCUGUUGUAAGAGAAGAACGAGUGUGAGAGUGGAAAGUUCACACUGUGACGGUAUCUUACCAGAAAGGGACGGCUAACUACGAGC
rnacentral:rRNA from 1 species